rnacentral:misc_RNA from 1 species
AAGUCGUAACAAGGUAGCCGUAGGGGAACCUGCGGCCUGGAUCACCUCCUUUCUAAGGAGCCUCCUUACUCGUAAGAGUAAAGGCAUCCUGGUCAAUCCCUCGGCAUGGUCCGAGCGGAUGCCCGCAAAGCAUCAUUGUCUGCUAUUUAGUUUUGAGAGACCAGAACCUCGCAAGAGGUUUUUUGUUCUUUGAGACAAGACGAACGAAGGUGGAAGUGGGCUAGUAGCUCAGCUGGCUAGAGCACACGACUGAUAAUCGUGAGGUCGGAGGUUCGAGUCCUCCCUGGCCCACCAGAUUAUUUGGGGGUGUAGCUCAGUUGGGAGAGCGCCUGCCUUGCACGCAGGAGGUCAUCGGUUCGAUCCCGUUCACCUCCACCAGAUGUUCUGUCAGGAGUAAGGAGAGAAGAGUGAGGAGUACACCUCACCCUAACGCCUUACGCCUCACCGAUUUUCUUGUUCUUUGGCAAUUGCAUAAGACUGAUACGAUGCACGAAGUAAAGCGUUGCGUACGCAAGUACGUGACACGCGAAGGUAGCAACACGAUCGCUUAAGUAGAAGACUUUUUUAUGGUCAAGCUAUUAAGGGCGUACGGUGGAUGCCUUGGCAUCGGGAGGCGAUGAAGGACGUGGUAAGCUGCGAAAAGCUUCGGUAAGCCGCUAAACAGGCUUUGACCCGGAGAUGUCCGAAUGGGGAAACCCA